rnacentral:lncRNA from 1 species
CUCAAUUUCAUUUGUACAAUAUUAAAAACAGUUUCUAACCAUGCAAUUUAUUCUUUUUUGUUUUCUUGUGAUACAUCAUACAAACCAAGAGGGUAGUAAAGCCCUUUAAUGUCAGGCAUCAAACAGUCAUUUUCGGCUACCAUUAGCAUCAAAUUGGUUAAAAUUUUACCGUGAUUCGUCAAAAUAUCCUUAUCGGGAUUCGUCAGAGGUCUCAAAUAAUUAUUGUUCCCGUCAUUUUUGGAAAAAAAUUAACAUGAUUCCUCAAAAUCAGUUGAUGUUUUUAUCAUCUAAAAGAAAGUGGUCAUUUUAUCGUCAUACUCUAAAAAUUACGGUCAGCAUUAUUUGGCAAGAAUUUUUACCGUUAUUCGUCAUGAAGGUAUCCCCAUUACGACCCUCAACCAAGACUUGUGAAAUCAAACAUGACUGGAACUUGAAUCAUAUCUAGGAUUUCCAGUUUUAAAUUUAUGUAUGAUGAUUCUGUGUACUAACCUACAUGAUAUGUUACUGUAAAAAGAAAACAAAUGAUACAAAACUAACAAUUUAACCUUGUUAUGAUUAAGGUGGUACAUAACACUACAGGGAGAUAACUCUGUAAAAAUUAGUUGAAUUUUUUAAUCACG